rnacentral:rRNA from 1 species
GAUGAACGCUAGCGGCAGGCUUAAUACAUGCAAGUCGAGGGGCAGCACAGAUAGCAAUAUUGGGUGGCGACCGGCAAACGGGUGCGGAACACGUACACAACCUUCCUUUUGGUGGGGGAUAGCCUUUGGAAACGGAGAUUAAUACCCCAUAAGAUAUUGGGACCGCAUGGUUUUGAUGUUAAAGAUUUAUUGCCAGAAGAUGGGUGUGCGUAUGAUUAGGUAGUUGGUGAGGUAAAGGCUCACCAAGCCGACGAUCAUUAACUGGUGUGAGAGAACGACCAGUCACACGGGCACUGAGACACGGGCCCGACUCCUACGGGAGGCAGCAGUAAGGAAUAUUGGUCAAUGGACGGAAGUCUGAACCAGCCAUGCCGCGUGGAGGAUGAAGGUCCUCUGGAUUGUAAACUUCUUUUAUAUGGGGCGAAAAAGGGCCAUUCUUGGUCAACUGACGGUACCAUAUGGAUAAGCACCGGCUAACUCCGUGCCAGCCGCCGCCGUAAAAC